GUUUAUUUGAAGUUUUGAUGGAAAGUUUUUACUUUAGAUUUCUUUAAAACAAGGAAUUUGUACAAUAGAAGCAAAGGCAGUAUUGAGUAGGUUUAUAUAAAAAUGGUUAAACCUGGCAGAUGUUACUAUUUUUUAUUAAAAACAAAAGGUAUAUGUGUUUAUUUUUUGUCUUUUGCAGAUAUGGAAACCACAAAAGAUUCUGGAUCUAACGCAGCAGGAACCAGCAUGCCCAACUAUGCGAUAAUCAUCCUUGCCAUAAUCAGUGCUUUGCAGCCAUUCUUUUUAGAAUCUUCUAUGUCAAUUGAAUCAAAAUUCACGUUCUUGCGUAGAGAAAAAAUAUAGAAUUACCAACAAAAACAAAGCUGAUAAAUAUGUACAGGUGUUGCAAAUGAAGUUUAAUUACCAAUAGACACCGGCCAUGGCUUCAAUCUCAUAAGGAACAUUUAAACAAGUUGUCAUUUUGAUUUUCACUUUUCUCCAUGCAUACAACACUGUAUCACACAUCCUAGAAGAAAGAUCAACUUCCACGCUGUUUCUAUUUACUCAUUUCAUUAUCAGUUCGUGUACUUCCUAUGAUAUGUUAUCUUCUCUUACUUGUCAUGCUUGAAGAAUAAAAUCAAUUGCAGUCCUUCUGUUUGUUUGUUUGUUUUAGUUUUUUUG
rnacentral:lncRNA from 1 species